rnacentral:rRNA from 1 species
ACGGGAGGCAGCAGUGGGGAAUAUUGGGCAAUGGGCGAAAGCCUGACCCAGCAACGCCGCGUGAGGGAAGAAGGUUUUCGGAUUGUAAACCUCUGUCCUAGGUGACGAAGGAAGUGCCGGUAGCCAAGGAGGAAGCCCCGGCUAACUACGUGCCAGCAGCCGCGGUAAUACGUAGGGGGCGAGCGUUGUCCGGAAUGACUGGGCGUAAAGGGCGUGUAGGCGGCUUUUUAAGUAUGAAGUGAAAGUCCUGCUUUUAAGGUGGGAAUUGCUUUGUAGACUGGAGAGCUUGAGUGCGGAAGAGGUAAGUGGAAUUCCCAGUGUAGCGGUGAAAUGCGUAGAGAUUGGGAGGAACACCAGUGACGAAGGCGACUUACUGGGCCGUAACUGACGCUGAGGCGCGAAAGCGUGGGGAGCGAACAGGAUUAGAUACCCUGGUA